CCUACGGGACGCAGCAGUGGGGGAUAUUGCACAAUGGGGGGAACCCUGAUGCAGCGACGCCGAGUGGGCGAUGGAGUACUUCGGUAUGUAAAGCCCUAUCAGCAGGGAAGAAAAUGACGGUACCUGACUAAGAAGCCCCGGCUAAAUACGUGCCAGCAGCCGCGGUAAUACGUAUGGGGCAAGCGUUAUCCGGAUUUACUGGGUGUAAAGGGAGCGUAGGCGGCCUGGCAAGCCUGAUGUAAAAUACCGGGGCCCAACCCCGGGGCUGCAUUGGGAACUGCCAGGCUGGAGUGCCGGAGAGGCAG
rnacentral:rRNA from 1 species